AUCUUUGAGGAAUUGCCACACUGUCUUGAGAUACCAUCUCACACCAGUUAAAAUGGCGAUCAUUAAAAAGUCAGGAAACAACAGGUGCUGGAGAGGAUGUGGAGAAAUAGGAACACUUUUACUCUGUUGGUGGGACUGUAAACUAGUUCAACCAUUGUACUCUCAGGACAUUUCUAGUCCAAAUUUACACCAACACUCUGAGAGGAAGGACUGCAAAGUAGGUACCUUAGUUUUCCACUGACUUCCACUUUUCCUGCUUACACCCUUCCU
rnacentral:lncRNA from 1 species